CAAGCUGUCAUGGGUUAUCAGAAGGGGUGAGCUGAUUUUCCUUCUUUGUUACUUCUUAUUGAUCCAUAGUGCCUGCAUCCUAUUCGAAGAUUGCCUAGCCUGUGGAGAAAACCUUUCAUGAUGACACACUUUCAAAACAUGAGCAGGGAGAAUAUUCCUCUCUUAUCCAGCAAAUUCUUCCAUCUGGUACUACCCUCCAUCUUUAAAGAGUUCUGUGCUGACUGGGGAGGUAGAAGCUGAGCUGAAGUUCACGAGAGCAUAAGAUAGCACCGUUUGUUUUGCAGAUUUUCCUACCUUACAGCAGUCAUGACAGCUGCUCCCAUAACAAAUGAUUAGAGCUUACAAACAAAGCAGAGUUGCAAAGGACAAGGGAUUUCAAGGAGCCAUCCACUAUGUAAUUUGCAGAUAGAUAACUAUUUACAGUAUCUGCUGCAGUAUUUACAGUACAAAAAUGGAUAUGAGAUCCUUUAGCAUUCUCUAGCCAUACAGAUCUCAUCUAUUUUUGCUCUUCUCUAUCCUCUACUCCUCAUUCAUCCCAACACGCAUACAAGCACACAUAAAACUGUCUUCUGUUUGGAAGCACAUUCCUAGGAAGUCUCACAAGGACAAAUUCUGGAUAAAGGCACAAAACGUGGAAGCAAAGUAAUUACAGAAGGUAGUGUUUGCUAAUUGUUUUUGGCACUGAUGGUGGAUUCCCGUGAAAAAUUUCUACCGCUCUCUAACUAGGAUGCCAUUUGAUUUAAAAGUUUAAUAACAAAUAUUCUGACAUAGAAUAUCUACUUCCACAGAGUAAUUUAUUUUCAGUAUAUUAACUAAUGUACUGCUAUUUUGGCAGUCUUUCCAAACUGUUCAUAGAUGAAUGAUAAUAAAAUAAAAAUUUCUAAAUAAUCACCUAGUUUAGACACAAACUGCAAUAGAAGUUCUGCAUCUAACCCUGAACCAUUCACAGUGAAAGAAGAAAGUCAUUUCACCAAUCAGUAAAUCAUAUCAUAGAAAAAAACAUGACAGUCUUUUCCCUAAUUGCAGCCAAAUUUUGGUCAUCUGUUCCCUAAUGUAUUUUAUCUGCAGUUGUAAGUUAGCCCAAUAUUGAUUUUGCACAUCAUCUCAUGUGGCCUCAUCUAAACUUUGCAUGACUUGCAUGCGUAUACAAGAGCACAAAUUUGUUAUAGAAUUGUCUUGCUGAUAGAUGAAGUUUUAAAUGUUUUUUUAAAUAGUAAAUUGCAGAAAUGCUUAUUGUCCUUUCACUUGCAGCUCUAUAAAUCAUAAUUUUAGUCAAUGAUACCAUAUAGUUAUAGCAAUGACCCAAUAAAAAAAGAGAGCCAAAACCAAAAAUGCAUUUUCUCCACUUUUGUGUGCAUAUAAUAAACCACCUGUAAAUGGCAUUCUUUACUGUGGGCUUGAAGUUGAAAGACUCUCAUAGUAAAUGACACGGAAGUGCUACCAACAUACUGCUGAUAUAUUAAGCCCAGCACAAAAAAAUUAUCUGCUGUUUAUGGUUUUUUCCUAGGGAAAUUUUUAUCUCUUUAUAAUUGAGCGUGUUACAUGAAACUUUACCAGGGUGCAUUAACACUGGGGUAAGAAUAAUAAGUAAACUUGAUGAGAAUUUCCUGAUUAUAAAAAUACCGCUGGGGAAGAAAAAAAAAAAAAGGACAGGAAGAAUGGAAGAAUGGGGCCCAAAAUGUUACAUGUUGUUUGUAUCUGUGCUGUAGCAUUUCUAGAUAUGCAGUUACCACCUACAUCAGAUUGAACUCAUGGGCAAAAUUCUGGAGGAGGAAAUUUUCAGAUUUUUUUUUUCUUCUUUUUUCAGUGAAAUGAAAUACAAGUAAUGUGAGCACAGAAAGUAUCUGGCAUUUAUGCAGAGAAAUUUUUUGUACUAU